AUCCUACUCCCUCCAUCCCAAAAUUCUUGUCUUAGAUUUGUCUAGAUACGAAUGUAUCUAAUACUAAAACGUGACUUGAUACAUCCGUAUUUAGACAAAUCUAAGACAAGAAUUUUGGGACGGAGGGAGUACUUU
rnacentral:pre_miRNA from 1 species